UGACUUUGUUAAAGGAACUGUGUCA
rnacentral:piRNA from 1 species